rnacentral:sRNA from 13 species
GCUGGGCGUGGUGGCUCACGCCUGUAAUCCCAGCACUCUGGGAGGCUGAGGUGGGUGGAUCACCUGAGGUCAGGAGUUUGAGACCAGCCUGGCCAACAUGGAGAAACCCCAUCUCUA